rnacentral:rRNA from 1 species
GACGAACGCUGGCGGCGCGCUUAACACAUGCAAGUCGAGCGAUGAAACUUUAACAGAACCCUUCGGGGCGAAGAUAAAGUGGAUUAGCGGCGGACGGGUGAGUAACACGUGAGUAACCUGCCUUGGACAUUGGGAUAGCCUCGGGAAACCGGGAUUAAUACCAAAUAAAAUCAUAAUGACACAUGUCAUAACGAUCAAAACUCCGGUGGUCUAAGAUGGACUCGCGUCCCAUUAGCUAGUUGGUAGAGUAAAAGCCUACCAAGGCGACGAUGGGUAGCCGGCCUGAGAGGGUGAACGGCCACAUUGGAACUGAGAAACGGUCCAAACUCCUACGGGAGGCAGCAGUGGGGAAUAUUGCACAAUGGAGGGAACUCUGAUGCAGCGACGCCGCGUGAACGAAGAAGGCUUUCGAGUCGUAAAGUUCUUUUAUAUGGGAAGAUAAUGACGGUACCAUAAGAAAAAGCCCCGGCUAACUACGUG